rnacentral:rRNA from 1 species
AUUGAACGCUAGCGGGAUGCUUUACACAUGCAAGUCGAACGAGUGGCGGACGGGUGAGUAAUGUAUGGGGAUCUGCCUGAUGGCGGGGGAUAACUACUGGAAACGGUAGCUAAUACCGCAUACCAUCAGAUGAACCCAUAUGGGAUUAGCUAGUAGGUAAGGUAACGGCUUACCUAGGCGACGAUCCCUAGCUGGUCUGAGAGGAUGAUCAGCCACACUGGGACUGAGACACGGCCCAGACUCCUACGGGAGGCAGCAGUGGGGAAUAUUGCACAAUGGGCGCAAGCCUGAUGCAGCCAUGCCGCGUGUAUGAAGAAGGCCUUCGGGUUGUAAAGUACUUUCAGUCGGGAGGCGUUACCGACAGAAGAAGCACCGGCUAACUCCGUGCCAGCCGCCGCGGUAAUUC